CGCGCAGGUGGUUUCUUAAGUCUGAUGUGAAAGCCCACGGCUCAACCGUGGAGGGUCAUUGGAAACUGGGAGACUUGAGUGCAGAAGAGGAAAGUGGAAUUCCAUGUGUAGCGGUGAAAUGCGUAGAGAUAUGGAGGAACACCAGUGGCGAAGGCGACUUUCUGGUCUGUAACUGACGCUGAGGCGCGAAAGCGUGGGGAGCAAACA
rnacentral:rRNA from 1 species